rnacentral:rRNA from 1 species
AGGAUGAACGCUGGCGGCGUGCCUAACACAUGCAAGUCGAACGUCCUGUCUCGCAAGAGGCAGGGAGUGGCGGACGGGUGAGUACCACGUGGGUCAUCUACCGUGAGGUGAGGAAUACCGGCGAGAAAUCGCCGACAAGACCGCAUAGGCUCGAUGCAAGUCGAGCAAAGCUCUUUCGAGAGAGGGAGCGCCACACGAGGAGCCUGCGCCCGAUUAGCUAGCUGGUGGAGUAACGGUUCACCAGGGCGACGAUCGGUAGCUGGUCUGAGAGGACGAUCAGCCACACUGGGAUUGAGAACGGCCCAGACUCCUACGGGGGCAGCAGUGAGGAAUUUUCGUCAAUGGGGGCAACCCUGAACGAGCAACGCCGCGUGCAGGAAGAGGUUUUCGGAUCGUAAACUGCUUUUCUCGGGGAAGAGAACGGACGGUACCCGAGGAAUCAGCCCCGGCUAACUACGUGCCAGCAGCCGC